AACAGGAUUAGAUACCCUGGUAGUCCACGCCGUAAACGAUGAGUGCUAAGUGUUAGAGGGUUUCCGCCCUUUAGUGCUGCAGCAAACGCAUUAAGCACUCCGCCUGGGGAGUACGGCCGCAAGGCUGAAACUCAAAGAAAUUGACGGGGGCCCGCACAAGCGGUGGAGCAUGUGGUUUAAUUCGAAGCAACGCGAAGAACCUUACCAGGUCUUGACAUCUCCUGACAACCCUAGAGAUAGGGCGUUCCCCUUCGGGGGACAGGAUGACAGGUGGUGCAUGGUUGUCGUCAGCUCGUGUCGUGAGAUGUUGGGUUAAGUCCCGCAACGAGCGCAACCCUUGAUCUUAGUUGCCAGCAUUCAGUUGGGCACUCUAAGGUGACUGCCGGUGACAAACCGGAGGAAGGUGGGGAUGACGUCAAAUCAUCAUGCCCCUUAUGACCUGGGCUACACACGUGCUACAAUGGAUGGUACAAAGGGCUGCGAGACCGCGAGGUUAAGCGAAUCCCAUAAAACCAUUCUCAGUUCGGAUUGCAGGCUGCAACUCGCCUGCAUGAAGCCGGAAUCGCUAGUAAUCGCGGAUCAGCAUGCCGCAGUGAAUACGUUCCCGGGCCUUGUACACACCGCCCGUCACACCACGAGAGUUUGUAACACCCGAAGUCGGUGGGGUAACCUUUUGGAGCCAGCCGCCUAAGGUGGGACAGAUGAUUGGGGUGAAGUCGUAACAAGGUAACC
rnacentral:rRNA from 1 species